CCCCUAGACCAGGUUGCUCAAAGCCCUGUCCAACCUGAACUUGAACACUGCCAGGGAUUGGGCAGCCACAGUUUCUUUGGGCAACCUGUGCCAGGGCCUCACCACCCUUACAGGGAAGAAUUUCAUCCUAAUGUCUAAGCUAAAUCUACCCUUUUCCAGUUUAAAAUAGUUCUCCUUGUAUUGUUACAUGCCCAUGUAAAAAGUCCCUCUCCAGACUACGCUGAUAAGGGAGUCUGCAGUGCCAACCUCAAUUUCUUCUUUCACACAUGCUGGAACCUCAGAUAGUCUCAGACUGAUCUUACUCCUGAUGUUUGUUGUCCUCAUACAUUGCUAAAAAAAAAAAUGCAGUAUAGAAACUAAAGAAUGGGGAGAGAAUUGGAACAAAUGAGAGACUAUGCGUGCAAUACUUGAUUAUGCCAUUUUUCUCUACACUCGUAAAAGCAUGCAUGUCUGCUUCAUUUGUUGAGCUAGUACUUAGAUAAGACUGGAAUUAAUACAAGGGUAUGUGCACGUUUCCAGCCACAAGUAAUGAGAUCACUGGACUAGAAUUUUGCCAGCACUCUAAAGAAUAAUCAGUGCACUGGAGCAGGCAGGAACUAUCGGAUGGGCUUAUCCUUGUGUGACAUGUCUGCUGUGUCCUGAUGAGAUCCUGAUGUCACUCCGGAAGGCACAGCCUGAACAUGGAAAUGAAGAAAACAGCCCUCCAGCAGAGGGCUGAUCAGAGCACACAGUGACAUCUCCCACAUCAAGACUAGAGCCACAUUUGCCACAACACAAGCCAUCUGAGAUGUUGGUACUGCAGCUCCACUGCAAGGAUUUCAAGUUAUGAGUGAAAAUUAGAUUGUCUGGAGUAAAAUGAUCAACAGUCGACAAUAUUUGAGUUUGAGAUAUGUCAUAGAGCUUCUUUUUAUUAUUAGUUAACAAAAAGGCAUGCUUAAAUAAAAAUCUGCAGUGAGAAAUAUAUCUGAGCUUUCCAUUUUGAA